CUAUACAUGCAGUCGAACGGAGAGCCUUGGUAUUCGUACUGAGGUUCUUAGUGGCGAACGGGUGAGUAACGCGUUGGUGACCUACCCCGAAGCGGGGGACAACUCCGGGAAACUGGAGCUAAUACCCCAUGAUGUCACGAGGGUUAGAGACCUGGUGACGAAAGGCUUUGGUCGCUUCGGGAGGGGCCUGCGUCCCAUCAGCUAGUUGGUAGGGUAAAAGCCUACCAAGGCGACGACGGGUAGGGGGCCUGAGAGGGUGACCCCCCACAAUGGAACUGAAACACGGUCCAUACACCUACGGGUGGCAGCAGUAGGGAAUAUUGCACAAUGGGCGAAAGCCUGAUGCAGCAACGCCGCGGGCGCGAUGAAGGCCUUCGGGUUGUAAAGCGCUUUUCGGGGAGAUGAGGAAGGACAGUAUCCCCGGAAUAAGGAUCGGCUAACUACGUGCCAGCAGCCGCGGUAAAACGUAGGAUCCGAGCGUUAUCCGAAUUCACUGGGCGUAAAGCGCGUGCAGGCGGUCGGGUGAGUUGGAUGUGAAAGCUCCUGGCUCAACUGGGAGAGGACGUUCAAUACUGCCUGGCUAGAGGACGGUAGAGGGAGGUGGAAUUCCCGGUGUAGUGGUGAAAUGCGUAGAUAUCGGGAGGAACACCAGUGGCGAAGGCGGCCUCCUGGACCGUACCUGACGCUCAGACGCGAAAGCUAGGGGAGCGAACGGGAUUAGAAACCCCGGUAGUCCUAGCUGUAAACGAUGUAGACUGGGUGUCGG
rnacentral:rRNA from 1 species